AAACAUUUGUCUCGAACUUUCAAUAAACCCUUGAAGAUAAAUCAUUUUUCAACUAUUCACAUAAAAAUAAAUAAGUUGAAAAAAAAGAAGAAGCACUUUCUUAACUCUCUCUUUGAUCCAAACAGGGAACAUCACUCUCUCUUUCUCUCUCAUUUCAGAACUCUCUCUCUCCACCCACACUCUUCCACCCACUCACAUUCAGGUAUCCGUACCCUCUGUGAGUGCCACGGUUGCUACACCGUCCUCUCACAAAAUCACACCACAAACAAACUGUAUCAGCAAAAUGUCAAAAAAACUCUGAAUUAG